UACGGAGGGUGCGAGCGUUGUCCGGAAUCAUUGGGCGUAAAGGGCGCGUAGGUGGCCCGGUCAGUUCGUGGUGAAGACGCGGGGCUCAACCCUGCGUCGGCCAUGAAUACUGCCGCGGCUGGAGCACUGUAGAGGCAGGCGGGAAUUCCGGGUGUAGCGGUGGAAUGCGUAGAGAUCCGGAAGAACACCGGUGGCGAAGGCGGCC
rnacentral:rRNA from 1 species